rnacentral:RNase_P_RNA from 1 species
GGAGUUGACCAGACAGUCGCCGCGCAACCGGUUAUUUUCGGAAUACAGCUGUGAAGUACGGCUUUCGGAAAGAACAGUUACGGGGAGGAAAGUCCGGGCUCCAUAGGGCAGGGUGCCAGGUAACGCCUGGGGGGUGCAAACCCACGACAAGUGCAACAGAGAGCAAACCGCCGAUGGCCCGCAUGCGGGAUCAGGUAAGGGUGAAAGGGUGCGGUAAGAGCGCACCGCGCGGCUGGCAACAGUCUGCGGCACGGUAAACUCCACCCGGAGCAAGGCCAAAUAGGGGUUCACAAGGUACGGCCCGUACUGAACCCGGGUAGGCUGCUUGAGCCAGCGCGCGAGCGCUGGCCUAGAUGAAUGACUGUCCACGACAGAACCCGGCUUACCGGUCAUCUCCGACA